rnacentral:lncRNA from 1 species
UUAUUGAAACCUGUUCCUUGCAUUUGUCAAAUUCCCGUAAAAAAAAUGAAAAUGGAAGAUUUUGUGAUUGCUAUUUGUUAUCGUCAAAAUUUGUACGCAAGUAACUGAACAAAAAAUAACAUCAAAUAAAGGAGAAUAAAAUAUAUGAACAAACUAUCCAGAACUUUCACCUUCACUAAGCUCUCUUACAACCAUGAUGCCAACUUCCUCCUUCAAAGUUCAUUAGUCAGCCAGCCAGGGU